UACGAAGGGGGCUAGCGUUGUUCGGAAUCACUGGGCGUAAAGCGCACGUAGGCGGAUCUUUAAGUCAGGGGUGAAAUCCCGAGGCUCAACCUCGGAACUGCCUUUGAUACUGGGGAUCUCGAGUCCGGGAGAGGUGAGUGGAACUGCGAGUGUAGAGGUGAAAUUCGUAGAUAUUCGCAAGAACACCAGUGGCGAAGGCGGCUCACUGGACUGGUAUUGACGCUGAGGUGCGAAAGCCAGGGGAGCGAACGGG
rnacentral:rRNA from 1 species